rnacentral:tRNA from 1 species
GGCAGUUUAGCUUAAUGGUAAAGCACUCAACUGGUAUCCGAGAGGUGCAGGUUCAAGUCGCGUGGCUGUCU